rnacentral:rRNA from 1 species
UUAAGCGACUAAGCGUACACGGUGGAUGCCCUGGCAGUCAGAGGCGAUGAAGGACGUGCUAAUCUGCGAUAAGCGUCGGUGAGGUGAUAUGAACCGUUAUAACCGGCGAUUUCCGAAUGGGGAAACCCAGUGUGUUUCGACACACUAUCAUUAACUGAAUCCAUAGGUUAAUGAGGCGAACCGGGGGAACUGAAACAUCUAAGUACCCCGAGGAAAAGAAAUCAACCGAGAUUCCCCCAGUAGCGGCGAGCGAACGGGGAGGAGCCCAGAGCCUGAAUCAGUGUGUGUGUUAGUGGAAGCGUCUGGAAAGGCGUGCGAUACAGGGUGACAGCCCCGUACACAAAAAUGCACAUAUUGUGAGCUCGAUGAGUAGGGCGGGACACGUGGUAUCCUGUCUGAAUAUGGGGGGACCAUCCUCCAAGGCUAAAUACUCCUGACUGACCGAUAGUGAACCAGUACCGUGAGGGAAAGGCGAAAAGAACCCCGGCGAGGGGAGUGAAAAAGAACCUGAAACCGUGUACGUACAAGCAGUGGGAGCCUCUUAAUGGGGUGACUGCGUACCUUUUGUAUAAUGGGUCAGCGACUUAUAUUCUGUAGCAAGGUUAACCGAAUAGGGGAGCCGAAGGGAAACCGAGUCUUAACUGGGCGUUAAGUUGCAGGGUAUAGACCCGAAACCCGGUGAUCUAGCCAUGGGCAGGUUGAAGGUUGGGUAACACUAACUGGAGGACCGAACCGACUAAUGUUGAAAAAUUAGCGGAUGACUUGUGGCUGGGGGUGAAAGGCCAAUCAAACCGGGAGAUAGCUGGUUCUCCCCGAAAGCUAUUUAGGUAGCGCCUCGUGAAUUCAUCUCCGGGGGUAGAGCACUGUUUCGGCAAGGGGGUCAUCCCGACUUACCAACCCGAUGCAAACUGCGAAUACCGGAGAAUGUUAUCACGGGAGACACACGGCGGGUGCUAACGUCCGUCGUGAAGAGGGAAACAACCCAGACCGCCAGCUAAGGUCCCAAAGUCAUGGUUAAGUGGGAAACGAUGUGGGAAGGCCCAGACAGCCAGGAUGUUGGCUUAGAAGCAGCCAUCAUUUAAAGAAAGCGUAAUAGCUCACUGGUCGAGUCGGCCUGCGCGGAAGAUGUAACGGGGCUAAACCAUGCACCGAAGCUGCGGCAGCGACACUAUGUGUUGUUGGGUAGGGGAGCGUUCUGUAAGCCUGUGAAGGUGGCCUGUGAGGGUUGCUGGAGGUAUCAGAAGUGCGAAUGCUGACAUAAGUAACGAUAAAGCGGGUGAAAAGCCCGCUCGCCGGAAGACCAAGGGUUCCUGUCCAACGUUAAUCGGGGCAGGGUGAGUCGACCCCUAAGGCGAGGCCGAAAGGCGUAGUCGAUGGGAAACAGGUUAAUAUUCCUGUACUUGGUGUUACUGCGAAGGGGGGACGGAGAAGGCUAUGUUGGCCGGGCGACGGUUGUCCCGGUUUAAGCGUGUAGGCUGGUUUUCCAGGCAAAUCCGGAAAACCAAGGCUGAGGCGUGAUGACGAGGCACUACGGUGCUGAAGCGACAAAUGCCCUGCUUCCAGGAAAAGCCUCUAAGCAUCAGGUAACAUCAAAUCGUGCCCCAAACCGACACAGGUGGUCAGGUAGAGAAUACCAAGGCGCUUGAGAGAACUCGGGUGAAGGAACUAGGCAAAAUGGUGCCGUAACUUCGGGAGAAGGCACGCUGAUAUGUAGGUGAAGCGACUUGCUCGUGGAGCUGAAAUCAGUCGAAGAUACCAGCUGGCUGCAACUGUUUAUUAAAAACACAGCACUGUGCAAACACGAAAGUGGACGUAUACGGUGUGACGCCUGCCCGGUGCCGGAAGGUUAAUUGAUGGGGUUAGCGGUAACGCGAAGCUCUUGAUCGAAGCCCCGGUAAACGGCGGCCGUAACUAUAACGGUCCUAAGGUAGCGAAAUUCCUUGUCGGGUAAGUUCCGACCUGCACGAAUGGCGUAAUGAUGGCCAGGCUGUCUCCACCCGAGACUCAGUGAAAUUGAACUCGCUGUGAAGAUGCAGUGUACCCGCGGCAAGACGGAAAGACCCCGUGAACCUUUACUAUAGCUUGACACUGAACAUUGAGCCUUGAUGUGUAGGAUAGGUGGGAGGCUUUGAAGUGUGGACGCCAGUCUGCAUGGAGCCGACCUUGAAAUACCACCCUUUAAUGUUUGAUGUUCUAACGUUGGCCCGUAAUCCGGGUUGCGGACAGUGUCUGGUGGGUAGUUUGACUGGGGCGGUCUCCUCCUAAAGAGUAACGGAGGAGCACGAAGGUUGGCUAAUCCUGGUCGGACAUCAGGAGGUUAGUGCAAUGGCAUAAGCCAGCUUGACUGCGAGCGUGACGGCGCGAGCAGGUGCGAAAGCAGGUCAUAGUGAUCCGGUGGUUCUGAAUGGAAGGGCCAUCGCUCAACGGAUAAAAGGUACUCCGGGGAUAACAGGCUGAUACCGCCCAAGAGUUCAUAUCGACGGCGGUGUUUGGCACCUCGAUGUCGGCUCAUCACAUCCUGGGGCUGAAGUAGGUCCCAAGGGUAUGGCUGUUCGCCAUUUAAAGUGGUACGCGAGCUGGGUUUAGAACGUCGUGAGACAGUUCGGUCCCUAUCUGCCGUGGGCGCUGGAGAACUGAGGGGGGCUGCUCCUAGUACGAGAGGACCGGAGUGGACGCAUCACUGGUGUUCGGGUUGUCAUGCCAAUGGCACUGCCCGGUAGCUAAAUGCGGAAGAGAUAAGUGCUGAAAGCAUCUAAGCACGAAACUUGCCCCGAGAUGAGUUCUCCCUGACUCCUUGAGGGUCCUGAAGGAACGUUGAAGACGACGACGUUGAUAGGCCGGGUGUGUAAGCGCAGCGAUGCGUUGAGCUAACCGGUACUAAUGAACCGUGAGGCUUAACCUU